CCUACGGGUGGCUGCAGUGGGGAAUAUUGGACAAUGGGCGAAAGCCUGAUCCAGCCAUGCCGCGUGUGUGAAGAAGGCCUUCGGGUUGUAAAGCACUUUCAGUGGGGAAGAAAGCCUUGGGGCUAAUACCCUCGAGGAAGGACAUCACCCACAGAAGAAGCACCGGCUAACUCCGUGCCAGCAGCCGCGGUAAUACGGAGGGUGCGAGCGUUAAUCGGAAUUACUGGGCGUAAAGCGCGCGUAGGCGGUCUGAUAAGCCGGUUGUGAAAGCCCCGGGCUCAACCUGGGAACGGCAUCCGGAACUGUCAGGCUAGAGUGCAGGAGAGGAAGGUAGAAUUCCCGGUGUAGCGGUGAAAUGCGUAGAGAUCGGGAGGAAUACCAGUGGCGAAGGCGGCCUUCUGGACUGACACUGACGCCGAGGUGCGAAAGCGUGGGUAGCAAACAGGAUUAGAUACCCUUGUAGUC
rnacentral:rRNA from 1 species